CCCGGCUCGGUCCGUGCGGUGACGGCACUGUCGCCCGCCAGAGGCGGGAGCAGGGUCGAGAUUCCGGCGGCGUUCCACUCAUCGAGCUGGGCC
rnacentral:tRNA from 1 species